rnacentral:lncRNA from 1 species
CUUCAGAGCACUUAGCAUAGCUGACUUCUAAAUGCAAACUAAUGUUCGACCUUAACUACAUGGAGAACUAAUGUUCUGCUGUAAUUCRUUCUAAUACAUUCUGUGCAAUAUUUUCCCUUCACUCUCCUCCUUUUCACGUGUCUGUCAUAUUCCUUGGUUGAAACAUGGAAGCUGUUCUUAACUGUUUUCCAAGCAAUCACACUUUUGCCCUGCCUAAUUUCACUUCUCCUUGAACUGCUCUUCCCACCCUUCCCUUCCUCCUCCUCCUCAGGCAGCUCAGGCAGGAGCCACCCAUCACUCGGCUCCCCGCUAGGAUGGAGCAGGCAGCCGGCUGCGCUGCUGCGGAUUUAUAGACCCUUUGGCAUGAGCAGAGGCUGGCUGGGCCAGGCCGCAGAGCAGGGGCAGACUGCAGCAGCUGGGAGCGCUUCCUGCUGCCGCAUCCCGCGCGCUGUCAGGACAAGGCUGAGGCAAAGCGUCGCAGCACCUUCCGAGAGCAGUAGCGUGCUCCCUUUGAUCCUCGCUUCACCUUUUCAACGCAGCUGCACAGCAAGGUAGAAAGCUUUCAGGAUUCUUACU